rnacentral:rRNA from 1 species
AUUAGCUGGUUGGUGGGGUAAGAGCUUACCAAGGCGACGAUCAGUAGCCGGUCUGAGAGGAUGAACGGCCACACUGGGACUGAGACACGGCCCAGACUCCUACGGGAGGCAGCAGUGGGGAAUCUUCCACAAUGGACGAAAGUCUGAUGGAGCAACGCCGCGUGAGUGAAGAAGGCUUUCGGGUCGUAAACCUCUGUUGGAUGGGAAAAAAAGGUAGCAAUACUUUGAUGGUACCAUUUGAGGAAGCACCGGCUAACUACGUGCCAGCAGCCGCGGUAAUACGUAGGGUGCAAGCGUUGUUCGGAAUCACUGGGCGUAAAGAGAGCGUAGGCGGGAUCGUAAGUUAGGAGUUUAAUACAUGGGCUUAACCCGUGGUCGGCUCUUAAUACUGCGGUUCUUGAGUGUGGGAGAGGGCGAUGGAAUUCCAGGUGUAGCGGUGGAAUGCGUAGAUAUCUGGAAGAACACCAGUAGCGAAGGCGGUCGCCUGGCCUAACACUGACGCUGAGGCUCGAAAGCUAGGGGAGCAAACAGGAUUAGAUACCCUGGUAGUCCUAGCCGUAAACGAUGAACACUAGUUGCCGGAGGAGUCAAUCUUUUUGGUGACGAAGCUAACGCAUUAAGUGUUCCGCCUGGGAAGUACGCUCGCAAGAGUG